rnacentral:lncRNA from 1 species
GUGACACCUCUUCCAGCAGAGAGAGAGAGACAGUGGAAAGCAAGGGGCCGGUCACGGUGGUUUCGUGGCACUAACGACCGUCAUUUUGACGCGUAAGCCGGUUCCAUUUCAUAGUCUGAAGGCAGGGAAGCCACAGGUGGUGGUGGUUUGUGCAUCCGAGGGGCGGUGAUUGGGUCCAAUGGCGUUACAGCUCGCAUGCCGGCGUCCCCGGUACUCAACAUCGACGACAGCAACUUUGAUGAAUUGGGUGGCGGUAGUUCAAGAUGUGGAUUAGGUUUUUCGGUGGCCAUUGGUGACGGCGAACAGGUUUCGUGACGAUACACGAGUGGAGAACCACGAGGGAUGUUAGAUCGGAGGUUUGCAUAGCUAGCCAGUGACGGCGCUCAAGUGCCUACGGUUCCGAUCAAGUUCUGGCAACUUUUCGGUGUAGUUUCACACUUGGAUGUUGGCAAAGGGCUGUGACAAACUGCGGCAAAUAGUAAGGAUGCAAAUACACGAGGAUCUUGAUGUGAGGUGAGAUCGCUCUUAUUAAUGUUGCAAGGCAAGGGCAUAUCUCCAAUGCUAAUACCUCAUUGAACACGUACUGAAACUGAUGAUGACAUUACUUCUUUGUUCUUAGCUGUAGUUGCAGACUCACUCCAAUGUUUGGAGCUAUUAACAUAGGUACACCAAUAUCUCUACUAUUAGAAAGGGUUCUUUACAAACAAGAAUAUAAGCAAUCUGACCUUGAAUUUUUUAUUUAUUUUUAUUUAUUUAUUUAUUUAUGUUUUUGCUAUGAGUAUUUCUGUUUUGUUUAGAUUUUUUUAUUACUUACUAAUCUAUGAAGAAAGUGAAUGCAACUCGAUUUGUGAAAUUGCCAAGGCAAUUAUGUUAUCUGCAGCCUCAUUCAUUCGGAUCAUGUUUCAUCUCUAACGGGUCAAACGGAUGAUGUUUUAAAAAUAUCGUAAAGAAACCUUUUUAUGGGCCUUAUGGUACUACAUGUUGAAAGGCGCUGAUAGUGUGUCUUUAAUAAUGGUAAAACUUGAUUAUUAUGAAGUGAUUAAGUUUUUUAAGAAAAUUUGGUGCAUUGAUUAUCUAUAGAACACUUCAAACAUUUUAAGCCAACCCAAACCUUACCAAAAUCAUCUACUCUAAAACCUUCAUAAUAUUACUAAAUAUUUAGAAAGUGUAGUGGUUGGACGAUGUCAUUCUUGGAAUCCCAACAAUUUGGCAUAUAUUGGGCUUUGUCUUUUUUGGGUUCACCAGGUGUGUUGCCGUUCACGGCCCUAGACGUAGGUGUGUACGGGUUCAACUCACUAAAUAGAUGGAAUUCACAGCUCUAAAAUUGUUUGUGCAGGAAGGCGCAAAAGUUCAAUCACGGGGACUAAUACAACCAAGCUUUAGGCCGGUCAAUUGUUUGUGUCUUUAGCUCUUGCUUUUAUAUGUCUAUUUUUAUUAUUAACUCAGAUAUAUAACCAAAAAGGAGAGUAACGUCUUUCAAAAUAUAAGUUUUAAUAGAUUUUCAUUUACUUAAUGUUGAUUUUGCAUCUCCUACGACUUGAUCCAAAAGACGCUUUACAUCUUUUGCACGGUUCGUUUAAGACCAAACACUAUCGGUAAUGUUUUGUUUAUUGCUUUUUGUACAUAGGGUUUUCCGCCGCAAUGCGCGAACAGGUAAAAACCUAAUUAAUACAUAUAUAACAAUUUCCUAAAUUAUUGAGACAAGUGACAUCAAAACAAAAAAUAUUAGGAAUUUAGGGAAAAUCACGAAAAUAGCCAAAUCAACGCCGUUUUUUCCAUUUUGGCCAAUGGCCACCCCUCACCGAGCCGUUUCAGCAUGCUGAAACGGCACAAGAUUUUCUUUUAAUGGCCAGCCAACCAUUGAGUGCCACGUGUCCGACAAAGCCUGUAACGGCUUGAGGAUGCUGCAGUCCACGCCACGUGUCCGACCAACGUUGAAAGAUCUUAGCCAAGCCGUUACAAUCGGCUCCUGUUGAAAGAUCUUAGCCGAGUUCCUUCAGUGAGCCAAGCCGUGUGCUUUGGUUGGAGCUGAGCCGUUACCGUACCCACGUGGACCCCACUGCUGCCAGCCAAGCCGUUACAGCUGGCUCCGAGCCGUUUCGCCCCAUUGUUUGUGCCGUCUCAACUGCUCCGAGCCGUUUGUUUCAGCUGGCUCCGAGCCGGUACAGCUGUCUUAAGCCGUUUCAACCUAUACUUCGAGCCGGGUCAAUAUGUUCGAGCCGUUUGACCGUCUGUUCCCCUAUAUAUUUACCCACUUGUUUUUUUUUUGUUUGCUUGUUAAACGGAUCCCUCUACCACACUUAAAUCUCAUAGAAAAUGUUAGGGAUAUCCUGCUUUCUUUAUUUGAUUGUCAUAGAUGUUUUCGUGUAUCAAAGGCAAGAAAUAUUUAUGAAACCUCACGUAUCUGUUAGUGUAAAAGACGUGUUCCUGGGCUUUAAUUGUCAAAUUAGCUUUUGAUAUUGUUUCUCAUAUUGGAGUGUCCUUCUCUUCAGAAAUUCCACCUCUACUUACCCAGUGAGUGUGGAUGGAAUUUUCGAGUUCAAGACGCAUCUUUAUCAUUGCUACAAGCGUUUUGACUCGAAUUCCAGAAGAAGAGAUUUGGUUCACUCCUAACUUUCAAUUUCCUCUCGGUUAUCAACCGAGUCAUAAGCAGCGGUUUGGCGAAGUUAUGUUGUUAUCUGAAGACUGCUUGCUUGGAGACCGAGGAGACCGAGCUUUUUUCUCUACUAGCCGUUUCAGCGGUUUGGCGAAGUUAUUUUUGUAUUUUUACAUGUUAUAUCUUUUAUGUAAUUUGUAUUAAAUAAUAAUAAAAGUUUACUUGUUUUUCAUGCAAAUAAUUUUAAAUCUGUUUGGGCU